CUGGUUAAUUGGAGAUAAAAGGGAGGACUGAGAAGGUGGCUUAGUCGUAGAGUGCCUGCCUAGCAUGCAUGAAGCCUUGGGUUUGACUCCUCAGCACCACAUAAACAGAAAAAGCCAGAAGUGGUGCUGGGGCUCAAGUGGUAGAGUGCUAGCCUUGAGC